rnacentral:rRNA from 1 species
UACAGAGGGGGCAAGCGUUGUUCGGAAUUACUGGGCGUAAAGGGCGCGUAGGUGGCCUUCUAAGUUGAACGUGAAAUCCCUGGGCUCAACCCAGGAACUGCGUCCAAGACUGGGAGGCUUGAAUCCGGGAGAGGGAUGCGGAAUUCCAGGUGUAGCGGUGAAAUGCGUAGAUAUCCGGAGGAACACCGGUGGCGAAGGCGGCUUCCUGGACCGACUCUGACGCUGAGGCGCGAAAGCUAGGGGAGCAAACGGG